rnacentral:rRNA from 1 species
CCAGCAGCCGCGGUAAUACGGAGGGUGCGAGCGUUAAUCGGAAUUACUGGGCGUAAAGCGUGCGUAGGCGGUUAUUUAAGUCAGAUGUGAAAGCCCCGGGCUUAACCUGGGAACUGCAUUUGAUACUGGGUAACUAGAGUUUAGUAGAGGAGAGUGGAAUUUCAGGUGUAGCGGUGAAAUGCGUAGAGAUCUGAAGGAACACCAGUGGCGAAGGCGACUCUCUGGACUAAAACUGACGCUGAGGUACGAAAGCGUGGGUAGCAAACAGGAUUAGAUACCCUGGUAGUCCACGCCGUAAACGAUGUCAACUAGCCGUUGGACCUCUAUACAGGUUUAGUGGCGCAGCUAACGCAUUAAGUUGACCGCCUGGGGAGUACGGCCGCAAGGUUAAAACUCAAAUGAAUUGACGGGGGCCCGCACAAGCGGUGGAGCAUGUGGUUUAAUUCGAUGCAACGCGAAGAACCUUACCUACCCUUGACAUCCAGAGAAUCUGUUAGAGAUAGCGGAGUGCCUUCGGGAACUCUGAGACAGGUGCUGCAUGGCUGUCGUCGGCUCGUGUCGUGAGAUGUUGGGUUAAGUCCCGUAACGAGCGCAACCCUUAUCCUUAGUUGCCAGCACAUCAUGGUGGGAACUCUAGGGAGACUGCCGGUGAUAAACCGGAGGAAGGUGGGGACGACGUCAAGUCAUCAUGGCCCUUAUGGGUAGGGCUACACACGUGCUACAAUGGCCGGUACAGAGGGCAGCGAACUCGCGAGAGUCAGCAAAUCCCAGAAAGCCGGUCCUAGUCCGGAUUGGAGUCUGCAACUCGACUCCAUGAAGUCGG